GAGACUCUGUGCGCGUGCAUAUCAAUAAGCGGAGGAAAAGAAACUAACAAGGAUUCCCCUUAGUAACGGCGAGUGAAGCGGGAAGAGCUCAAAUUUGAAAUCUUCAAGGGUUCUACCUUUACGAAUUGUAGUUUAUAGAAGUGUUUUCUGUUAGUAGAGUGGCAAAAGUUCUUUGGAAUAGGACAUCAUAGAGGGUGAGAAUCCCGUAUUUGGUCAUUCUUUCUAGCUUUGUGAUACACUUUCAACGAGUCGGAUUGUUUGGGAAUGCAGUCCAAAAUGGGUGGUAAAUUUCAUCUAAAGCUAAAUAUUGGCGAGAGACCGAUAGCGAACAAGUACCGUGAGGGAAAGAUGAAAAGAACUUUGAAAAGAGAGUUAAACAGUACGUGAAAUUGUCAAAAGGGAAGCGUUUGACACCAGUGUUGUUUUUCCGAAAAUCAAUUACGAAUGUUUUGUUUUUAAGAAGUUAUGACUUCAUCGGCUUGCUUCUCUCUUUACUGAAACUUUCUUAAUGCACUUUUCGGUUAACAAGUCAACAUCAAUUUCUUUUGUUGUAAAAGGGUAUGAGGAAGGUGGCUUUCUUUUCGGAGAAAGUGUUUAUAGCCUUGUACCUCUGCAAUCGGAGAGAUUGAGGUCUGCAGCGUAGAUCCUUCGGGGUUAGAUACAUUUGUGCUAAGUUAUAGCUUUUCAUAGACAACUUGUUGACUAUGUUAGUCUUGUAGCUUACUCGCUUAUGCUAUUUUACCUACGCUUAGGAUGUUGACGAUCAGCUGAGCGCG
rnacentral:rRNA from 1 species